ncrna:Ixodes scapularis (black-legged tick) microRNA isc-mir-96 precursor
UUCCGUUUUUUGGCACUAGCACAUUUUUGUGUUUCGAUGCUACGACAAAAAUUGUGGUAGUGUCAAGCAAUAGGAA